rnacentral:rRNA from 1 species
AGUGAACGCUGGCGGUAGGCCUAACACAUGCAAGUCGAACGGCAGCACAGGAGUGCUUUCUCUCUGGGUGGCGAGUGGCGGACGGGUGAGGAAUACAUCGGAAUCUGCCCAGUCGGGGGGGAUAACGUAGGGAAACUUACGCUAAUACCGCAUACGACCUUCGGGUUGAAGAGGGGGAUCGCAAUACCUCUCGCGAUUGUAUGAUCCGAUGUCGGGUGAGCUAGUUGGCGGGGUAAUGGCCCACCAAGGCGACGAUCCGUAGCUGGUCUGAGAGGAUGAUGAGCCACACUGGAACUGAGACACGGUCCAGACUCCUACGGGAGGCAGCAGUGGGGAAUAUUGGACAAUGGGCGCAAGCAUGAUCCAGCCAUACCGAGUGGGUGAAGAAGGCCUUCGGGUUGUAAAGCCCUUUUGUUGGGAAAGAAAUCUUUCAGGCUAAUACCCUGGGAGGAUGACGGUACCCAAAGAAUAAGCACCGGCUAACUUCGUG